AUGCCCGCCCGCCCCUCCCGCGGCGGAAAGGCCCCGGCGCGCUCCUGCCAGCACCGUAUGGGAAGGGGCUGGCAAGUGCCCCAGCGAAGGGCUGGAUACGAGCGGGGAUGCUGCGCCCGAGCCAGCCCCAGCCACCGCCAGCCGCGCAGGGGAGGCCGGAUCCGGCCCCGCGAGGAGGAGGAGGAGGAGGAGGAGGAGGAGGAAGGCAGCGGCAGCAACCGCCUCCGGACCUGCCUCUCUCCCCGAGGAGGGCGGGAAGGGAGCCCGGAUUCGCCCCCCUCGGCCCCCCCCUUUCCCCGCCGCCCUCCCCGGGGAUCCUCCGCCCGCCCCGGGAGGCUGCGGCCCCGGCCUCCCUCCCCCGGCGGGGCGGGAAGGCGGCCGCGGCCUGGGUGCGCAGGAAAAUGGCGCGCAAAGCCGGCGCGGCGGAGCAGAGGCCGUUGGCUGGACGGGGCCGGGCCCGCGGCCGGGCCCUGGCCUCCCGCCGCCGCCGCCNNNNNNNNNNNNNNNNNNNNNNNNNNNNNNNNNNNNNNNNNNNNNNNNNNNNNNNNNNNNGGGGGGGGGGGGGGGGGGGGGGGGGGGGGCGGGAGGGCGCCUGCCUCACCUUGGGCUUCUCGUCGGCCAUGGCGAGUCAGCGAUGUCCGGGCCACUCCGAGCGCCUCACAAAGGGGGGGAAGAAACGACCGAGCGCGGCGGAGAAGAGAGGAGAGAGAGAGGGAGGGAGAGAGAGAGAGAGGGGAAGGCGGGGGGGGGAAGGGAGCGCGCACGCACUGCCGCGGGGCCGCGCCUUGCCCCCGUGCGUGCGCGCGCCCGCCCCGUCCGCCGGGCUCUCCCCCGCCCCCCCCCCCGGCGCGGCCCCGCCGCUCAUUGGGCCCCGACGGGCGGUGGGGGGCGGGGACGGGCUCGGGGGGAGGGAGCGCGCGCGCGCCCCGGCCGUUACAUAACGCGGCGGGAGGCGGAGCGUGCGCGCGCCCCGGCCGCUGCCCGCCCUGCGUGCGCGCGCCCCGCCCCGCCCCGCCCGCCCGCCGGGCGCAGCGGGCCCUGCCGUGCGGCGGGUAUUGUCCUCCUCAAAAUGGCCGCCGGGCCGCGGCGCCCCGCGCCCCUCCCCACCGCCCGGGAAGGGUCCUCCGCCGCCCGGCCCGAGCCCGCCAGCUUCGCGGCGCCCGGCCCGGCUUCCUCAGGGCCUCCUCGGCGCCGCCGUCCCUUCAGCACCUCGCCCAUGAGCCCUGCGGGCCGCCCUCGCUCUCGGGCCUGCUGCGCCAUCCCCACAGGCGCCUUUCCCUGACGCUCCCCCCGCGGGUGACCCCUCCGUCUCGUCCGCCUCGUGGGCCUCCUCACACCGGACGCGUUUUCCCCCCCCCGCGCUCGUGGCCCUCGGUGUUUUACGGAUGA
rnacentral:lncRNA from 1 species